GGUUUAACUUCGGUUUGGUUGGUUCGGUUCGGUUCGGUUUGGGUUUUUUGUCCACCCCCUGCAUCUAGCUCCCUCUGUAAUGGCUCUAGAUUUUUUUUUUUUUUUGAACUUUAGUGGCUCUUGAUGUUUAAAAUAUAUUUUCCAACUUAUAAUUUUGAAUUUUGUAGUUAAUUUUAGUAUUGUGUUUUAAGUAUUUUAUGUUUCUU
rnacentral:lncRNA from 1 species